AGAGCGUUCCUGAACGCGUUCCCACAGAUCAGCGCGAGGAGCGCGUGCAAGCAGAGCUGCUGAAGAACGUGAAUGGGUUGGUCUCGUGGAGUGUUCUGGAGGAAUAUCUCUGUCUGAAGAGUCUGUGUUGGUUUGCGCACGUUUGAACGCACUGGAGCGCAAUCGUAUCGGACAGUCCGUUCACUGAGAGACUCGUGCAGGAUCAUCUCGACACAUCCAACUUUAAUGACACAAAUAAAGGCGGGUCCAAAGCCAUGACAUCAGAGGAGGAGGGGCCUGCCGUGGUGGGGGCGGAGCCACCCAUGGACCUGUGUGCCUCUCCUGGCUGGGAUGGGCUUGUUGAAGAAGAGGCGGAGCCUGCUGAGCAGGAGGAGGCGGGGCCUGCGGAGCAGGUGCAGGUGGCUGAUGAUGUCAGCAGUGAGUUAAGCGCUCUGGUCGUCCCGUACCCAGAACUAGCGCCCAUCGUCUUCUUCUGCCUCAAACAGACCACGUGUCCUCGCAGCUGGUGCAUCCGCAUGGUGUCCAGCCCAUAUCCUUAACAACUGCAGCUG